rnacentral:rRNA from 1 species
GUCCACGCCCUAAACUAUGAUCACUCGUUGUUGGCGAUACACAGUCAGCGACUAAGGGAAACCAUUAAGUGAUCCACCUGGGAAGUACGACCGCAAGGUUGAAACUCAAAGGAAUUGACGGGGCCCGCACAAGCGGAGGAGCAUGUGGUUUAAUUCGAUGAUACGCGAGGAACCUUACCUGGGCUUGAAAGUUAGUGACAUCCCGUGAAAGCGGGACUUCCGCAAGGACACGAAACUAGGUGCUGCAUGGCUGUCGU